rnacentral:lncRNA from 1 species
AGCUUUUUAAAUCAACUUUACACCUGUAUAUAAUAUAAGAGACAAUAGGCAAUAAACAUUUAAAAUAAAAAGUAAUUAUCUUAUAAAAAAAAUAGUAGAUUCAUUGAUUCAACAAAAUACCCAACUAGCUAGGCAAUAAACAGAUGCUUAAAUAAUCUAAGUACCACAAGACCAAAUUAUAUAAUCCAAAAAGCUGAAAUUCUAAAAUCCAUAUCCUAAGAAAAUGCUUAAUUAAAACCUUCAACCUUGUGGUUAUUGACCUUCCAGAAAAAACUCUAUCUGCAAAUCAAAAAAACAUAUAGACAUAAAUCAAUCAAAUAGUUAUGAAAUUUAAAAAAAUGUAUAUAAAGAAAGAAAUAUUUAAAUAAUAAAUUGUGAAUUUUCCAGAACUAUAGCUAUACUAGCAUUAUAGCAACCAAAAUCAAUAUCCAUAGAAUUUAGAGGAUUCGCAGAAUCGGAUUCUGGUUGAAGCUGUAAUAUGAAAAUAGACUCAAGAAAGUCGUCCCAUGUGCAGUGAGAUAUAUUUAUGAAUCCCAAAAUAUGAGAACUAUUAGAGCAAGUUUUAAACUAACCGAGAAGCUUGAGGAAGGGAAAGCAACCCAAGAGCUCCUGCAAAAGUGAAGAAGUAAUUAUGUCAGCACUAAAAUAUCAGUGUGAAGUAAUGAGAACCAUUUACGAAAAAUAUUGAACAGCUAUUAGUCAAUCAUCAGCAACACUAAAGUUCUGAUAGUGACAUGGGAACACAAAUGGAGUAUCAUCAUCAAAGUACAUAACAACCAGCAAUAGGUGAAUAAAGAAAACCAAUUUUCAUCAACUUUUCUGGCUAAUAAUCUAACGUUUCCCAAAUAAAUUACCUAUAAAAUUUUCUAAAUAUAAUGUUAGCUACCUUUUUACUUUUAAUAGCAAAUUUAACCAAACUGUAAGACAAGGAAAUUAUUUUAUUAAUAAUAGAUCUCUGAUAUUCAUAAUAGAGACCAGUAACCCAACAACCAACAACAGGAAUUAUAACUUUAGCAAGAAUCACUUUUUGAGAAAAGCUAAAGCAAACCACCAAAUUAGACCAACUGAGUUUGUUUGAGCAAUGUGGAAGUAUAUCGAACACCUUGUGUGCACUGCGAUGAGACCAACUGAGUUUGUUUGCUACAACAACAUUCCAAAUAAAAAAAUAUAGCAGUAUAAAUAAAAUUCAUUUGAAACAAUCCACUUUUUAGCUUAAACUAUGAAAUUUUUCACGAGUCUAAUGCUCAAAACAUUUGAAAGCCUUCAAUUUAUAACAUUAUCACAUCAUAUAAUUUUUAUAUACUAUAUGUUCAUGGUUUUCAAUAUCUAAAUGCAAGGCUUCUAGCUUUUGUUCAAAAUAGCUCCUAAUAGACUUUUAAAUUCCACAAGAAAGCAUGGUUUUACAACCUAGUUAAUAAAGUAGCUUGGUUAUGUAACACAUAAGCUUUGACAAUUCUUUACAUAACCUUUAUCAUGCAUAGCUUUGAUCCGAGUGGCACCAAGAAGUUUACAACCUUAUCAGACCUUAAAUAAGCAUUCAAACAGUGGUCUGGUCUGGCUUGAUUCAGCAGGCCCAGACUGCCCUGUUUUAGCUCUUUUAUCAUUUGACAAAGCUACAUAAUUACACUACCAUUAACUUUCAAGGUAUAGCACAUUUAGACACCAUUUAUAGCAUGAAAACAACCUUAGAAGCAUGGCAAGUCAAUCAUAAACGAGCUCCUAAUUAACAGUCCAAAUCUACUUUGUUUAGUUCAUUAACAAAGCCAUCAUGGUAUACAAGGAUCUUUAAGACAUGUUAUACUUGAAAUAUAGAACAUAUUAUUUAGCAACUAAACAUCAUUUUGAAAUUUAAUUUACAGCUAGAAUACCUUGACACUAUAACUGCCCCUAGUCUAGCAUUUUAUCAAACAGAUGGUAUGAAAGGUUUUUGGUUUACAUAAAACAAUCACUUUCUUAUCCAUUUUCCAACCUUUUGGCUUAAUUUACCUAGCACAAUAACAACAAUAGCAACAUAACAGCCAUCACAACUCUUAUUAGAUCUAUAACCUCUAACAGUUAGUUUUCCAUCAAAUGAAACUUGAAAUGGAAUUGAAUGGAAAGGAAAAGGGCUGCAGUGACUUACCCUGAUAGAGCUUAUGCUUGAUAGCUAUUUGGCUAGAUGGCUAAAUAAAUAUCUAUAUCCAGGAGGUUGCAUUUUGUUAGAUAAGUGACGUUUUAAAAUAGGCAGAACUGUGAAUGGUGAGCCAAAGCUUGAGCCUGUGCUGCUGGAUCAAACUAAAUCGAUGAGUUCAGAUGAAACUUUACCUUUUCAUUUGGUGCUUAGGAUUGUUCUAGUUUCAACCCAACUGAAAUCCAGACAGUUACGUGGAUCAAUCUAUCAUGAGGAAAGGGAUGAUAUUGAACUGAGAGUUAGAGAGGAAGAUGAUGAUGAACCAAAUCCCAAGAGAAGGCAAGUUCCAGCACUAAUUUUCAUGCGCCUGAAUAUCUUUUUCUCCAUGUUCAUAGUAUAUUUUGGUAUAAUUUUCCUUUUUUACUUGUCAAUAAAUAAAUUAUUGUAUAAUUUGUGUUGGAUUGCAGGAACACAGAAGUUGGGGCAUUGGAGUUAACUUUGUCUCAUAAAGUUGUCACAGAACCAAGGAUAGUUGUACAAACAAGAAGUGAAGUUGAUCUUUUGGAUGAUGGGUUCAAGUGGCGAAAAUAUGGAUAGAAAAUUGUCAAGGGGAAUGCUCACCCAAGGUGGUAACCUCAUCUAUAUUUUGAGCAUUACUCUCUUGUAUUCUUUGUAUAAUUCUAAUAUUCUUUUUUCAUUGUUUAAUACUCCAUCCAUUCCUAAAUAAGUGACGUUUUAACAUAGGCACAGUCAUUCAUCUUUCUUAGAUGAUACAUAUUAUUUAUACUGAUAAUUUUCUCAAUAUAUAUUUUUUGUUUUGACUGUUCGUUGUGCUCAGCUAAAGAACUGCUUAGCAUACUUUUUUGAAGUAAAAAAUAUUUUUGGCUCAAUUUUCAAGUAAACAACACUUGCAAAGUGGAAAUUUACAAACUUAAUCUUGUAUUUCGUGUGUUUACAAGUUUAUACAUGGUGAAUUCUUAAAGAGUUGAUCUCUCUAUGAUUUAAACCCUUAUAACUUCAUAUUUUUAUUUAGAAAGUGUAAUUAAUUUUUUCUCAAUAUCAAUCAUUUGGGCCUUAAAUUUGGAACAUGUUCUAGGGAAAAGUCAAGACUAACAUUGUCAAUAAAACAGUUGGAGGAAGAUCCACUGCUAGAAACUUUGGACAAAGUGAUUCCUCGGGUGUGUUAAAAUUUUCCUUGUCCCUGUGUUGAUACCAUAAUGGGGGUAUCAGCUAUGUGGCGGAGGAGGUUGGAUAACUAGUGAGGUAUUCUGCCAAAGAGUUGUACGAGAUAGACCAAAUUACUUAUUUUAUUCAAUAGGGAAAAAUUUAAAUGCAUAGAAGUACUUUCAAAACAUUUAUGCACUGUCACAAUAUUCAAUAGGGAAAAAUUUAAAUGCAGAGGUACUAAUAAUACCCAUUUUGCAGUACGAUAGUAUUAAGUCACAAUAUCCAAAACAGCCCAUACAGUACUUUUGACAAACACCAUAUAUGCACUGUUUUAAAUCACCAUUCUCAUAGCAGUUCAAUUAUAGCUCAAUUGCAAAAAGUAUAAGAAUUUGGUCUCUUACACAAACAAAAUACACAUAUACAUACAUGCGUAUGUAUAUAUGAAUCAUUACAGCAACUAAUGGAAUGCGGAUGAAUAAAGUUGUUAGAAAAAAUACCUUUGAAAAAAUUGACGGGUCUUUAGGUCUUCGAAUUUAGGGCUUCUGCAAUUGGGACAGAAGGAGCAAAUUUAAAGAUGCAAAGAUGGAGUUUGGGGUAUAAUUUUGGGAUUAAUGAUAAUCCCUUCACCCGUAGGAAACAUUAUCCGCACAAUCAAAUCUCAAUCUCGCUAAUAGCGGCUAAAUUUGGCAAUACUUUUUUAUUUCUCCCGCCUAAACUAUGGCUAAGGAAUAGAGGGGAAAACAAAUUGGUAGAAACCUAGCAUCUAUCUGGUUGAACCUUCAAUGUUGGCUAAGAAUUGAGCGAAACCAUGUCUAUUGCUUCCCUUUCGCGCACAACUCCAGACACGCUAAGAAUUGAGCGAAGCUCUCCCUAAUUGUUAUUUAACUGAAUGUUAA